GACGAACGCUGGCGGCGUGCUUAACACAUGCAAGUCGAACGGAAAGGCCCUGCUUUUGUGGGGUGCUCGAGUGGCGAACGGGUGAGUAACACGUGAGUAACCUGCCCUUGACUUUGGGAUAACUUCAGGAAACUGGGGCUAAUACCGGAUAGGAGCUCCUGCUGCAUGGUGGGGGUUGGAAAGUUUCGGCGGUUGGGGAUGGACUCGCGGCUUAUCAGCUUGUUGGGGGGGUAGUGGCUUACCAAGGCUUUGACGGGUAGACGGCCUGAGAGGGUGACCGGCCACAUUGGGACUGAGAUACGGCCCAGACUCCUACGGGAGGCAGCAGUGGGGAAUAUUGCACAAUGGGCGGAAGCCUGAUGCAGCAACGCCGCGUGCGGGAUGACGGCCUUCGGGUUGUAAACCGCUUUCGCCUGUGACGAAGCGUGAGUGACGGUAAUGGGUAAAGAAGCACCGGCUAACUACGUG
rnacentral:rRNA from 1 species